AUGCUAGUUCUGGAUGCGGGCAGCAAGUUGGUGGCGGUGGCCCGGAGAAGGCACAGGGUGGCAUGCGCCGGCGACGGGAGGCAUCUCCCACUAGGUCUGUGCACUCAACUGACAGGGUCAACCCAGAGGCGCCCGGAUGGACAAAGAGACGCGCGAUCUACUGGGAUUAUUCCAUUGAAGAGGGGCACAACAGAGGAUGGUGCAGAAUGGGGUGGAUGUGGAUCAAUUGACGAGGAUCAAAGUGCGCGCACACUUGGUGCGGCGGCCCUGGAUUUAGUUGACCAAGACAUAAAUCAUCCGGGACUUUUCGAAGGGGGUUUCGAUCAAGCAAGGAGUCUGCUCUCGAGGCUGCGUGAAGGAGAUGUCGGAUGUAAAACAUAG
rnacentral:rRNA from 1 species